rnacentral:RNase_P_RNA from 1 species
CCAGACGGCCGGGCGACCGCUGCCAGCCCCCAUGGGUCAUUCCUGGGGGCGGUGGAGGAAAGUCCGGGCUCCACGAGAAGACGGUGCCGGUUAACGACCGGCGGGGGCGACCCCAGGGACAGUGCCACAGAGAAAAGACCGCCCGCGUCGCCGAAAGGCCCGCGGGUAAGGGUGAAACGGUGGGGUAAGAGCCCACCGCGCCCCUGGCGACAGGGGCGGCACGGUAAACCCCACCGGGAGCAAGGCCGAAUAGGGAUGGCCGGAGGGAGCCCGGAAGGGCUCGCCGCCAGGGGCCUUCCCGCCCCGCCAUCCGGGUUGGCCGCGAGAAGUUCCUGGCGACAGGGACUCCAGAGGAAUGGUCGCCCGGUCCGCAAGGACCGACAGAACCCGGCUUACAGGCCGUCUGGCAUU